GAUGAACGCUAGCGAUAGGCCUAACACAUGCAAGUCGAGGGGCAUCACAUGAAGUAGCAAUACGGAUGGUGGCGACCGGCGCACGGGUGAGUAACACGUAUGCAACCUGCCUUCAACAAGGGGAUAACCCGUUGAAAGACGGACUAAUACCCUAUAACACAGGGGUCCCGCAUGGGAAUAUUUGUUAAAGGACAACCGGUUGAAGAUGGGCAUGCGUUCCAUUAGCUAGUUGGCGGGUAACGGCCCACCAAGGCAACGAUGGAUAGGGGAACUGAGAGGUUUAUCCCCCACACUGGUACUGAGACACGGACCAGACUCCUACGGGAGGCAGCAGUGAGGAAUAUUGGUCAAUGGACGCAAGUCUGAACCAGCCACGUCGCGUGAAGGAAGACGGCCCUACGGGUUGUAAACUUCUUUUAUACGGGAAUAAAGUGCCCCACGCGUGGGGUUUUGCAUGUACCGUAUGAAUAAGGAUCGGCUAACUCCGUGCCAGCAGCCGGGUAAAUACGCAGCGA
rnacentral:rRNA from 1 species